GUAGGUGAACCUGCGGAAGGAUCAUUAUCGUGGGGCUUCGGCCCCGUCGAGAAGACACCCUUGCCUUUAUGAGUACCAUGGAGUGAGUCUUCCCCGGGAUUGUCCGGAUCGGAGCGUCCAUGUUCAUUUUCCUCGGCCGGCUUGCCGGCCAAUGGGGAACACAAAACACCCUGUAACCACCUGUAACUGUCUGAUAAAACAAACAAAAAUCAAAACUUUCAACAACGGAUCUCUUGGUUCUG
rnacentral:misc_RNA from 1 species